rnacentral:misc_RNA from 1 species
CAACCCUCAAGCGCGGCUUGGUGUUGGGCGCGGCCGCGCGGCCGGCCCCAACGACAGCGGCGGCGCCGCCCGGCCCUGAGCGCAGUACGCCUCUCGCUCCAGGGCCCCGCGGUGGCCAGCCACACCCUGACUCAC